CUUCCGAUCUCAAUUUAUUGUGCUAUGUAGGUGUCAAAUCUCUGAUCCCAUUUACUGAAAAGCAACCUCAUAGCACAAUAGGCUGCCACCAUGUUUUACGGUAGGGAUGAUGUUUUUUCUACAAAUGCUCUUUUUUUUUUCUCCAAACAUAAUGAGUAUCAGAAUGAGUAUCAAACAAUUCUAUUUUUUGUUUCAUCAUUCCAUAACACUUUGUUCCAGAAAUAAUAAUAAUCAUUUUCAUACUAUUUGGCAAUCCUCAGUCAAUUAUCAUUAUAACAUUUGCAAAGGAGUGGCUUCUUCCAUGGCCUAUGGCCAGGUAUAUCAGGGAUCCCCAACCUUUUUGUACCUAAGAGCACAUUCUAGAAUACCGGCCGGAUGGUGAGCACCAUUUAUUUUUUCAAGGUGAAUUUAUAGUUGACAUAGUUAAUACAUACAUACAAAUAAUGUACAAAAAAAACAUUUAAUUCCAAAAAUAUAAUUUAACAAAAUUAUUCUAAUAUUUCAUUAUUGUCUUUGUGAAUGAAUAAAUAUUUGACAUCACAAAACAUUUUGACGCAUCUAUCUAAUAUUGCAAAGUUAGUACCUUUAACCCG
rnacentral:lncRNA from 1 species